UAUUUUAGGGGAGGAAAAUGAUAUCAAUACAUCCUCUGUUAUCCUCAAGAGACAGAAGAACAUUAUUGCUUUUAGAUGAAUUUUUAAACUGACUUGAAAGGGUACCAGAAUGUGUGACAGAAGGUGAGACUAAACACAGAUCCCAAAAGAUGUCCUCCCAGUACUCCUGACAGUAGAGCAAGUUCCACAACCAAAAACCUAGACCACACAUCAAGGUUAACGCAAAAGAAUAGAAGAUGAAGCAGUACCACUGACUCAUGAAGCAGCCAGAAUGUUCUCUCCCCCAUGAGAGAGGAAGAUCCAGAUGCAAAGAGAUCACUUUCUUACAAAGACGGCCAAACUCCCCAUUAGAAAUCUGAAAUUUGAGACCAGAUACCAUCAGCGCAGGAAGAUCCGUUACAAUGGUAGCAGGAACAAUUGGCUGCUGACUGCAUGCUGUGUAACUCUACACUGAAUACGGCACCUUGAAAUGUGAGGCAGACACUCCCUCCUCAAGUCCAGUCAUUACCAGUGCUGGGGAGUGAGCCCAAAGCAUUACUUGCUGAGUGACUGUGCAUCCCUGCGGUACCGACAAGGAAACAAUACACGAUAGGGUAGACCUUUCUCUGUUGCCAAGCCCCGCCAUAUCUGUGCCAUAAGAUGUUCUGUUCAAGCAAUGCAGCUGUUUGUACUGCGUGAUGAUCCUGCCCAAUGUAUGAAAGUGUUUUGUUCAAGCAAUGUAACUGUUUGUGCCUCAUGAUGUUUCUACCUGUUUCAGAAAUGUUCUGUUAACACCACCCUUCGCCUCGAUGAGCAUG